GGCCGCGAAUGGAAGCAAUGGCAGCGUAGUGAUUAAGCCAGUAGAUGAAGAAGAAACGCUAUCUCCUCGUGUUGAUCGGGCCGCGAAUGGAAGCAAUUGCAGCAAGGAAAUUGUUGGCUAAGCAUCCGUGCUGUGAUGUAAGUAAAUUUGAAAAAUGCCUACGCCUAGUGAAAGAUCCAAACGAAGUUAUUCAAAUGGUCAGACAGAUGAUUAAGUCCAAGACUGCACUAAGUCACAAAUUUUAGAAACUGGAGCAAGCAGUUUCUGCAGAAUUGAUCAGCCAAAACAUGCCCUUGGACUGGUCGGUAACUUUUACAAGAGGGGCUUUGAACCAUCGUAUUAUUCUUA